rnacentral:rRNA from 1 species
GAUGGAGGGGUGCCCGAAAGGGAACCUGGACACAGGUGCUGCAUGGCUGUCGUCAGCUCGUGUCGUGAGAUGUUGGGUUAAGUCCCGCAACGAGCGCAACCCUUAUCCUUAGUUGCUACGCAAGGGCACUCUAGGGAGACUGCCGGUGACAAACCGGAGGAAGGUGGGGAUGACGUCAAGUCCUCAUGGCCCUUAUGUGUAGGGCUUCACACGUCAUACAAUGGUCGGUACAGAGGGUCGCCAACCCGCGAGGGGGAGCCAAUCCCAGAAAACCGAUCGUAGUCCGGAUUGCAGUCUGCAACUCGACUGCAUGAAGUCGGAAUCGCUAGUAAUCGCGGAUCAGCAUGUCGCGAUGAAUACGUUCCCGGGUCUUGUACACACCGCCCGUCACACCAUGGGAGUGGGUUCUACCAGAAGUAGGUAGCCUAACCGCAAGGAGGGCGCUUACCACGGUAGGGCUCAUGACUGGGGUGAAGUCGUAACAAGGUAGCCGAAGGG